AAGACUAUACUUUCUAGGAUCAUUUCUAUAGUUUUUGACUUAAGAAAUGUGUUUCUAAAGUGCAUGGUUUCGCCAACCACAAUGAUGAGUUGUGAUAUUCCCUUGUGAGCAUGAAGCUGACAGAGAACAAUGAUUUAUUUCAUAUGUUCUCUAUCAUUGAGGAUUGUUCUUUGCAUCCACCUAGUGGAGCAAUGAAGAAGGGAAUAUGUUCAGAGUGGUC
ensembl:snoRNA